rnacentral:rRNA from 1 species
GAUGAACGCUGGCGGCGUGCCUAAUACAUGCAAGUCGAGCGAACAGACGAGGAGCUUGCUCCUCUGACGUUAGCGGCGGACGGGUGAGUAACACGUGGAUAACCUACCUAUAAGCCUGGGAUAACUUCGGGAAACCGGAGCUAAUACCGGAUAAUAUAUUGAACCGCAUGGUUCAAUAGUGAAAGACGGUUUUGCUGUCACUUAUAGAUGGAUCCGCGCCGCAUUAGCUAGUUGGUAAGGUAACGGCUUACCAAGGCAACGAUGCGUAGCCGACCUGAGAGGGUGAUCGACCACACUGGAACUGAGACACGGUCCAGACUCCUACGGGAGGCAGCAGUAGGGAAUCUUCCGCAAUGGGCGAAAGCUUGACGGAGCAACGCCGCGUGAGUGAUGAAGGUCUUCGGAUCGUAAAACUCUUUUAUUAGGGAAGAACAAAUGUGUAAGUAACUAUGCACGUCUUGACGGUACCUAAUCAGAAAGCCACGGCUAACUACGUG